UACGUAGGGUGCGAGCGUUGUCCGGAAUUAUUGGGCGUAAAGAGCUCGUAGGCGGCUCACUAAGUCGGGUGUGAAACCUCCAGGCUCAACCUGGAGACGCCACCUGAUACUGGUGUGGCUAGAGUCCGGUAGGGGAGUGUGGAACUCCUGGUGUAGCGGUGAAAAUGCGCAGAUAUCAGGAGGAACACCAGUGGCGAAGGCGGCUCUCUGGGACGGUACUGACGCUGAGACGCGAAAGCGUGGGGAGCAAACAGG
rnacentral:rRNA from 1 species